rnacentral:rRNA from 1 species
UACGAAGGUGGCAAGCGUUGUUCGGAAUCACUGGGCUUAAAGAGCACGUAGGCGGAGAUGUAAGUGUCUUGUGAAAUCCCUCGGCUUAACCGAGGAAUUGUUGGGCAAACCACAUCUCUUGAGGCAAGUAGGGGUGUGUGGAACUCUUGGUGGAGCGGUGGAAUGCGUAGAUAUCAAGAGGAACGCCGAAGGUGAAGACAGCACACUGGGCUUGUCCUGACGCUGAGGUGCGAAAGCGUGGGGAGCAAACGGGAUUAGAUACC